UUUUCUGGAGAGUCCACACUGUAGACUGGAGACUCUGAGAUUAUGGGACUGCAGGUUGUCAGAGGUCAGCUGUGCUUCUCUGGUCUCAGCUCUGAAGUCCAACCCCUCUCAUUUGUGAAAGCUGGAGCUGAACUACGACAAGCUGCGGGAUUCAGGAGGGAAGUUGCUGUCUGCUGGACUGGAGAGUCCACAAUGUGGACUGGACACUCCGAGGGUGGGUGGCAGUGAAAACAACUCUACACCUGACAGGCAUGAAGGAUAUCCGUCUGAGGACGCCAGAGAGGAUCAGCUGUGUCCUGAUGAUCCAGAGAGGUUGAAGCAGCAGCAGCUUCUGUGUGGAGAGGCUCUGAAUACAAAGGAGAAGUUAAGUUUCACACCUGACCUGCUGACUGACUCUGGAAAGACUUCAUACAGGUUCAGGUGUCCUGGUCCAGGUGUGUUCCAGUGUGCUUUGACUGGACUGGUGUUUGGUAUGACUCAGGAGGCGGAGCUGCUGUACCGGACUGUCCAAUGGGAUGAGAGCCUCCUCCAAUCAGCCGGCAAGACGGCUGCAGGGCUGCUGUUCAGUAUCAAGUGUCCUGAGGAGGCUGUCUGUCAGCUCCACCUGCCGCACUGUGAAACAA